rnacentral:rRNA from 1 species
AAAGGAAUUGACGGGCACCCGCACAAGCGGUGGAGCAUGCUGUUUAAUUCGAAAAUACGCGAAAAACCUUACCUAGAUUUGACAUCCCGGGCAAAGCUAUAGAAAUAUAGUGGAGGCUAUCCCGGUGACAGAUGGUGCAUGGUUGUCGUCAGCUCGUGUCGUGAGAUGUUUGGUUAAGUCCAAUAACGAGCGCAACCCCUAUCGUUAGUUGCUAACAUUUAGUUGAGAACCCUAACGAUACUGCCGGUGCAAGCCGGAGGAAGGUGGGGAUGAGGUCAAAUCAUCAUGCCUCUUACAUCUAGGGCUACAGGCGUGCUACAAUGGCUGGUACAACGAGUCGCAACACGGUGACGUGAAGCUAAUCUCUUAAAGCCAGUCCCAGUUCGGAUUGGAGUCUGCAACUCGACUCCAUGAAGUUGGAAUCGCUAGUAAUCCCGAAUCAGAAUGUCGGGGUGAAUACGUUCUCGGGUGUUGUACACACCGCCCGU